rnacentral:tRNA from 1 species
GAGGAUGUAGCUCAGUUGGUAGAGUACUUGUCUAGCAUACACAAGGCCUUGGGUUCAAUCCCCAGUACUUCA